rnacentral:miRNA from 11 species
UUAUGUUGGAUGACUCUACUGUGUGUAUAUAUAUGUAUGUAUGUAUGUAUGUGUGUGUGUGUGUGUGUAUAUAUAUAUAUAUAUAUAUACACACACAUACAUACAUAUAUAUGUA